rnacentral:rRNA from 1 species
AGAGUUUGAUCCUGGCUCAGAUUGAACGCUGGCGGCAGGCCUAACACAUGCAAGUCGAGCGGAUGAAGAGAGCUUGCUCUCUGAUUCAGCGGCGGACGGGUGAGUAAUGCCUAGGAAUCUGCCUAUUAGUGGGGGACAACGUUUCGAAAGGAACGCUAAUACCGCAUACGUCCUACGGGAGAAAGCAGGGGACCUUCGGGCCUUGCGCUAAUAGAUGAGCCUAGGUCGGAUUAGCUAGUUGGUGAGGUAAAGGCUCACCAAGGCGACGAUCCGUAACUGGUCUGAGAGGGUGAUCAGCCACACUGGGACUGAGACACGGCCCAGACUCCUACGGGAGGCAGCAGUGAGGAAUAUUGGUCAAUGGGCGCAAGCCUGAACCAGCCAUCCCGCGUGAAGGAAGACUGCCCUAUGGGUUGUAAACUUCUUUUGUACAUGAAGAACGGGCCUUACGUGUAAGGUUAUGACGGUAAUGUACGAAUAAGCAUCGGCUAACUCCGUGCCAGCAGCCGCGGUAAUACGGAGGAUGCGAGCGUUAUCCGGAUUCAUUGGGUUUAAAGGGUACGUAGGUGGCCCUGUAAGUCAGUGGUGAAAACCUGCCGCUUAACGGUAGGCGUGCCAUUGAUACUGCGGGGCUUGAGUACAGAUGAGGUAGGCGGAAUGUGUAGUGUAGCGGUGAAAUGCAUAGAUAUUACACAGAACUCCGAUUGCGAAGGCAGCUUACUAAACUGCAACUGACGCUGAUGUACGAAAGCGUGGGUAGCGAACAGGAUUAGAUACCCUGGUAGUCCACGCCGUAAACGAUGCUCACUGGCUGUAUGCGAUACACAGUAUGUGGCCAAGCGAAAGCGCUAAGUGAGCCACCUGGGGAGUACGCCGGCAACGGUGAAACUCAAAGGAAUUGACGGGGGCCCGCACAAGCGGAGGAACAUGUGGUUUAAUUCGAUGAUACGCGAGGAACCUUACCUGGGCUUAAAUGGGGAGUGACGGACGCUGAAAGGUGUCUUUCUUCGGACACUCUUCAAGGUGCUGCAUGGUUGUCGUCAGCUCGUGCCGUGAGGUGUCGGGUUAAGUCCCAUAACGAGCGCAACCCUUACCGUUAGUUACCAUCAGGUAAAGCUGGGGACUCUAGCGGGACUGCCACCGUAAGGUGAGAGGAAGGCGGGGAUGACGUCAAAUCAGCACGGCCCUUAUGUCCAGGGCUACACACGUGUUACAAUGGCCGGUACAAAGGGCAGCUACUCCGCGAGGAGAUGCUAAUCUUAAAAAGCAGGUCUAAGCC